AUGGUCUCGCCCUCCUUGGAGGACCUUUACCUCAGCCAGAACGCCACCGUCACCUGCGUCGUCACCAACGUGAAGUCCUACGAGGAAGUGAAAUUUUCCUGGGCUCGGGAAAGCGGAAAAGCCUUAGAUGUGACAUCAGAGGGGCCGGAAAAAUUAGCCAAUGGGCUUUACCGUCUCACCAGCACCUUAAAGAUCUGCGCCGAAGAAUGGAAUUCCGGCGAAAGGUUUACCUGCACCGUCACCAUCCCCGAGCUCCACGACACCAUCACCAGGACGAUUAAGAAAGAUCUAGCCGUUUCCCCGGAGCCGCCUUCCAUCUUCGUCUUCCCACCGCCGCCGGAAGAAUUGGCGCGGGAAGAAACGGCCACUUUGACCUGUUUGGCAUCGGGGUUCCGCCCUCGGGACAUUUUGGUGACGUGGACACACCAGAACCAACCAGUAGCUCCCGGUAGCUUCACCAAUUUUGGGCCUCAAGAAAACGGUGGCACCUUCACGGUUUAUAGCAAAUUAAACGUGCCGGUUUCCGAUUGGCAACGAGGCGACACUUUCGCUUGCAUCGUCGGCCACGACGGGAUUCCCAUGAAUU